GGCGAGUGAAGCGGCAACAGCUCAAAUUUGAAAUCUGGCCUUCGGGUCCGAGUUGUAAUUUGCAGAGGAUGCUUUUGGCGCGGUGCCUUCCGAGUUCCCUGGAAUGGGACGCCUUAGAGGGUGAGAGCCCCGUACGGUUGGACACUAAGCCUCUGUAAAGCUCCUUCGACGAGUCGAGUAGUUUGGGAAUGCUGCUCUAAAUGGGAGGUAAAUUUCUUCUAAAGCUAAAUAUUGGCCAGAGACCGAUAGCGCACAAGUAGAGUGAUCGAAAGAUGAAAAGCACUUUGAAAAGAGGGUUAAAUAGCACGUGAAAUUGUUGAAAGGGAAGCGUUUGCGACCAGACCUUUUCCUGGCGGAUCAUCCGGUGUUCUCACCGGUGCACUUCGCCAGGUUGAGGCCAGCAUCGGUUUUCGUAGGGGGAUAAAAGCCUGAGGAACGUAGCUCCCUCGGGAGUGUUAUAGCCCCUCGCAUAAUACCUUUACGGGGACCGAGGACCGCGCCUUCGGGCAAGGAUGCUGGCAUAAUGGUUGUCAACGACCCGUCUUGAAACACGGACCAAGGAGUCGAACAUUUGUGCGAGUGUUUGGGUGUUAAACCCUCACGCGUAAUGAAAGUGAACGGAGGUGAGAGCCCCUUGCGGGGUGCAUCAUCGACCGAUCCUGAUGUCUUCGGAUGGAUUUGAGUAAGAGCAUAACUGUUCGGACCCGAAAGAUGGUGAACUAUGCGUGGAUAGGGUGAAGCCAGAGGAAACUCUGGUGGAGGCUCGCAGCGGUUCUGACGUGCAAAUCGAUCGUCAAAUCUGCGCAUGGGGGCGAAAGACUUAUCGAACCAUCUAGUAGCUGGUUACCGCCGAAGUUUCCCUCAGGAUAGCAGUGUUGUUCUUCAGUUUUAUGAGGUAAAGCGAAUGAUUAGGGACUCGGGGGCGCUUUUUAGCCUUCAUCCAUUCUCAAACUUUAAAUAUGUAAGAAGCCCUUGUUACUUAAUUGAACGUGGGCAUUCGAA
rnacentral:rRNA from 1 species